rnacentral:hammerhead_ribozyme from 1 species
AUCCAGCUGACGAGUCCCAAGUAGGAUGAAACGCGCGCCUUGCAU